CGACCGCUGGCGGCGUGCCUAAUACAUGCAAGUCGAACGCACUCUCGUUUAGAUUGCAGGAGUUUGCUCCUGAUUGAUAAACAUUUGAGUGAGUGGCGGACGGGUGGGUAACACGUGGGUAACCUGCCCUAAAGUGGGGGAUAACAUUUGGAAACAGAUGCUAAUACCGCAUAAAACCUAACACCGCAUGGUGUAGGGUUGAAAGAUGGUUUCGGCUAUCACUUUAGGAUGGACCCGCGGUGCAUUAGUUAGUUGGUGAGGUAAAGGCUCACCAAGACCGUGAUGCAUAGCCGACCUGAGAGGGUAAUCGGCCACACUGGGACUGAGACACGGCCCAGACUCCUACGGGAGGCAGCAGUAGGGAAUCUUCCACAAUGGACGAAAGUCUGAUGGAGCAACGCCGCGUGAGUGAAGAAGGUUUUCGGAUCGUAAAACUCUGUUGUUGGAGAAGAAUGUAUCUGAUAGUAACUGAUCAGGUAGUGACGGUAUCCAACCAGAAAGCCACGGCUAACUACGUG
rnacentral:rRNA from 1 species